rnacentral:rRNA from 1 species
AGUAACGAUAAUGCGGGUGAAAAACCCGCACGCCGGAAGACCAAGGGUUCCUGUCCAACGUUAAUCGGGGCAGGGUGAGUCGACCCCUAAGGCGAGGCCGAAAGGCGUAGUCGAUGGGAAACAGGUUAAUAUUCCUGUACCUGGUGUUACUGCGAAGGGGGGACGGAGAAGGCUAUGUUGGCCGGGCGACGGUUGUCCCGGUUUAAGCGUGUAGGCUGGUUUUCCAGGCAAAUCCGGAAAAUCAAG